UUAUAGGAGACAAUUCAUUUUUGAGGUUCAUUGAAUAACUGAUGUAUUUGAUCUAUAUUAUAGACCAUAUACAUCAAUUAUCCAAUGAACCUAAAAAGUGAAUUGUCUCUUAUAA
rfam:Medicago truncatula strain A17 chromosome 6, whole genome shotgun sequence.